CUAAGACACAAAAGAUGGCGGACACUGGAAUAUGGAGCAGCACGCAAAAUGAUUGAGGAAUUCAACAGAUGCUGCCUGACCACCACCCACCCCCUCUCAGUUUUCCCUGCAGUUUGUGUGCAGCUAAUCUUGAUAAAAUUCUUUUCCACCAACUGAUGCUGCUCAACCCAAAAGUCGACCACUGGGACCACCCUACCAACUUGGCUGAUGUCCCCGGGGCCAGUGCUGUUCUGGAAACAUGCGAGGAGGAAUAAAUACUCCCCGAUGGUCGACAGGGUUCACCUACUUCAUGCGAACCCCCAGUAUGCCUACGUGGUUUUACCUGAUGGGCGGGAGGACACAGUCUCCAUCCGCGACCUGGCGCCCACAGGAGCACCGGGCCCCUACCCUGAACACUCCAUGGUGACUAUUAACCCCGUAUCCACCGAUAUGUAUACCCACCAGACACCGCGCACUCCAAGCCCUACGCAUAAACCACACAACACUUCCACACCGGGCGCGAUGCACACGCACGAGGGAUUACCGACGCCUAACGUGCUGGCACCUGAAGUCAGGCCGGAGCCAGCACAACCGCCAUCGCCGGUGCUACGUAGAUCACAGCGACGGACUCGACCGCCUGAUAGACUUGACCUGUAAAUAUACUUGUUUUAAAUAUUGUCAGUCACUUCACCCCGCGGGACUCUUUUUAAAAAAGGAGGGGUGAAUGUGGUAAACUAUAUAUAUAUAUGUUGUAACUGGGUUACCUGUCUGGACACGCCCCUCUGCUGACUGCCCCUGUGGCUCCUCCCACAGACCCCUGAACCUCCUCAGUCCGGGAGCAGGCUCAGCAUGCUGGAAGUCACAUUUUACUGCGAAUAAAAGCCUUUCAGUAUUUACCCUACUUCAGUCUUUUUGGAAUUAUUGAUGGUGCAUCAGGCCGUAUCUGGAAUAUUGCAUACAGUUCUGGUCACCCCGUUGGAGGAAAGAUGCCAAGGCUUUGGACCAGGUGCAGAAGAGGUUUACCAGGAUGCUGCGUUCACCAGCAACUUUGAUGUGUGUUGCUUGAAUUUCCAGCAUCUGCAGAAUUCCUGUUGUUUACCAGGAUGUUCCCUGGAUUAAAAAAACAUGCUAUAAAUGAAAGAUUGGACAAGCUUA